UGGUUUGACGAGACUCAAAUCAGACGACUACACAUGUAGAACUGUACGAAAAUGGCUUGUGGACGCGGGUUCAAUUCCCGCCAGCUCCACCA
rnacentral:tmRNA from 1 species